rnacentral:rRNA from 1 species
AGCUCCAAUAGCGUAUAUUUAAGUUGUUGCGGUUAAAAAGCUCGUAGUCGUAUUUCUGACCCGGGUUCUGGUCCGUCCUUCGAGGAUGUGAAUCGGAGGCCGGGUCUUGUUAGCACGGACCACGCUUCUGGGCUUAAUUGACCGGGACGUGAACCGUGUGAGGUCACUUUGAGUAAAUUAGAGUGUUUAAAGCAGGCGUGUGCUCUGCAUAUACCAGCAUGGGAUGACACGAUAGGACUCCGGUCUGUACGUCGGUCUGCGGCGCCGGGGUAAUGAUCGAUAGAGACGAUCGGGGACGUUCCUAUUUCGUUGUCAGAGGUGAAAUUCUUGGAUUUACGAAAGAGGAUCAACUGCGAAAGCAUUCGUCAAGGGCGUCCUCGU